rnacentral:lncRNA from 1 species
AUUGAGUUAAUGGACUCAUUAUCAAACACCUUAAUGGGAGGCUAUGACUCAGUUAUCUCCAUAACUUUGUCAUUUUAAGGACCUAAUAAUUUUAGAAGAUUUAAAAUUAUCAGUGAUUUAAGGAUAGAAAAGACAUGGACCAAUUCGCUCCCACUGACUUCAUCAAGUCAGGUCCUCCCACUGACUUCUCAAGUCAUUAAAAAGGACUAGGAUUAAAUUUGGUCCAUGGGCACC